GGUAAUUUCGUGUCCUAGAAGGUCACAGAAUGCCAAUGAUUUGGUAUAACAAUGGGUAAUUCUGAUGAGACAUCAUUCGUUCUAUAGAAAGCACCAUAAGCAGCAAAGCUGAUUUGGGUUCCUAGAGAGCCUGUGUAUACUAUACUAUAGCACCUCACUUUCUAUCAGGUUUUGCUCAGGUUGCUAGAAGAGAUUCUAUGGAUUUCUAGCCUCAAAGCAGGAUUGACCUGAGUAAAAGAUUAGACAGCAGGCGCACACAUGCAAGAACUACAAGAAACUCAACAAACCAAAUUACAACUGUCAAAAGGAGGAAGAGACCAAUACAGAGGAGAGAUAUUACUUUAGUAUCUCUAACAAGUACAUGUGGCAGAAAUACAUGAUUUUCAACUUCA